AGCCACUGGUCUGUAGGACAUGUUGGUGAACAGACCCUACUGGCCUGAGGUCGAGAAUGGAAAGAAUUUAAAGACGUUAAAACUGAGGUAAUUACCAACCCAGAUUUUUUGUGUACUACAGAGGGGCCCAAAGGCAUCUGCAUCUAGUGAAAAGUUUUAUAGUCCAAAUAAUUCACAGAAGUACUGUAACUAUUUUUUGACUUAGGGCCAAUAGACUGAUUAUUGAAUAAUUCUAACAAACAACAACAGAGCUGUUGCUUAUGCAUUACAUAGAUUAUGUAUGUGUCAACAAAAUUGUAUGUUUUAUUUGUCAAAGAUGUGGAUGUUUUCUUCUCCAUCUGCUCCCAAUGAACAGACACUGACACUCUCAGAGGUCACUUCAACGCCACAGAUCAACUACACCACAGAAUCUGCUGACAUCACCCAGCCCCCUCAGAGAAAAGUCAUCCGCAUCCCUAGCAUGUCUGGAAGAGAAAGAGUUUCUAACAGUUCUUUUCAUCUUAAUGACUGCUGCUUUGAAUUCUUCACAAACCCUGUAAACAAAACGCAGUUUACUUCAUAUUUCAUGACUGAUCCCAGCUGCCCCACCACAGGAGUUUUUUUAAUAACAACACAGUCAUGCUACAUUUGUGCAUAUCCAAAUGCAUCCUGGGUGGAGAAGGUUAUUAAGCACCUGGAUUCUGAUUCCCCUUGAAGGAGCUGUCUACAGUCCUGCUUUAUCAGACCAUGUGAAGUCAAAUUAACUGCUUGUGGCAAAGUGAUCAUCAUUUUGGUAUCAGUGCUAGUCUGUUUCAAGUUUCAAAGAUUUUGCUUCCAGUUUACAAUAUUUUUUUUAAUAUAAUUUUUUUGAAUGCUUUGUGCAACAGAUAUCCUACAUUAGUCAUUUUAACCAGUAUUGUGCUUUGUCUUAGACCAGGGACUACUGAAAUAUGUUGCACGCACCCCUGGGGGUGACAGUGUUUUUUUCACCACACCAUAAAUACAUGCAAAUAAACAUUUCCUCUGUAAAAAUUUUAAUCAA